GGAGAGGUGGCUGAGUUUGGUUGAAAACGAGCGCUCGACUCGAAAUCGAGUAGAUAGGUUGUUCCUGUCUCAUGGGUUCAAAUCCCACCCUCUCCGCCA
rnacentral:tRNA from 1 species